CCUACGGGAGGCAGCAGUGAGGAAUAUUGGUCAAUGGGCGCGAGCCUGAACCAGCCAAGUAGCGUGAAGGAUGACUGCCCUACGGGUUGUAAACUUCUUUUAUAAAGGAAUAAUUUGAGGCACGUGUGCCUUUUUGUAUGUACUUUAUGAAUAAGGCUCGGCUAACUCCGUGCCAGGAGCCGCGGUAAUACGGAGGAUCCGAGCAUUUUCCGGGUUUAUUGGGUUUAAAGGGAGCGUAGAUGGGUUGUUAAGUCCGUUGUGAAAGUUUGCGGCUCAACCGUAAAAUUGCAAUUGAUACUGGCAGCCUUGAGUACAGGUGAGGUAGGCGGAAUUCGUGGUGUAGCGGUGAAAUGCUUAGAUAUCACGAAGAACUCCGAUUGCGAAGGCAGCCUACUAAACUGCCACUGACAUUGAUGCUCGAAAGUGUGGGUAUCAAACAGGAUUAGAUACCCUGGUAGUC
rnacentral:rRNA from 1 species